rnacentral:rRNA from 1 species
UACGAAGGGGGCUAGCGUUGUUCGGAAUUACUGGGCGUAAAGCGCGCGCAGGCGGUCUUCCAAGUCAGUGGUGAAAGCCUGGAGCUCAACUCCAGAACUGCCAUUGAAACUGUUAGACUUGAGUACGAGAGAGGUGAGUGGAAUUCCCAGUGUAGAGGUGAAAUUCGUAGAUAUUGGGAGGAACACCGGAGGCGAAAGCGGUGUACUGGGGCUGGUCUGACGCUGAGGCACGAAAGCCAGGGGAGCGAACGGG